rnacentral:rRNA from 1 species
UUGUUGGUAGGGUAUCGGCCUCACCAAGGCGACGAUGUGUAGCUGGUCUGAGAGGACGAUCAGCCACACUGGAACUGGAACACGGUCCAGACUCYUACGGGAGGCAGCAGUGAGGAAUAUUGCGCAAUGGGGGAAACCCUGACGCAGCGAUGCCGCGUGAGUGAAGAAGGCCUUCGGGUCGUAAAGCUCUGUCAAGUGGGAAGAACAGUUUGGGGACGAAUAAUCCUCGAGCCUGACGGUACCACUGAAGGAAGCACCGGCUAACUCCGUGCCAGCAGCCGCGGUAAGACGGAGGGUGCAAGCGUUAUUCGGAUUUAUUGGGCGUAAAGAGCGUGUAGGCGGCCGGCCAAGCCAGAUGUGAAAGCCCAGGGCUUAACCCUGGAAGUGCAUUUGGAACUGGUUGGCUUGAGUUCGGGAGAGGGAAGUGGAAUUCCGGGUGUAGAGGUGAAAUUCGUAGAUAUCCGGAGGAACACCGGUGGCGAAGGCGACUUCCUGGACCGAAACUGACGCUGAGACGCGAAAGCGUGGGGAGCAAACAGGA